AGAGUUUGAUCCUGGCUCAGAACGAACGCUGGUGGUAUGCUUAACACAUGCAAGUCGAGCGGGUUUAGAGGGGCAACUCUUUAAAUCAGCGGCAAACGGGUGAGGAAUACAUAGGAAUCUCCCCAGCAGUAAGGAAUAACAUUGGGAAACCAAUGCUAAUGCCAUAUAUUACCGACUGGGUAAAACCUUUCGGGAAAGAUUUAUCGCUGUUGGAUGAGCCUUUGUCGGAUUAGCUAGUUGGUAGGGUAAUGGCCUACCAAGGCAAUGAUCCGUAGCUGGUCUGAGAGGAUGAUCAGCCACAUUGGGACUGCGACACGGCCCAAACUCCUACGGGAGGCAGCAGUGGGGAAUAUUGGACAAUGGACGCAAGUCUGAUCCAGCAAUACCACGUGAGUGAUGAAGGCCUUCGGGUUGUAAAACUCUUUUAGUAGGGAAGAUAAUGACGGUACCUACAGAAAAAGCACCGGCUAACUUCGUGCCAGCAGCCGCGGUAAUACGAAGGGUGCUAGCGUUGUUCGGAAUCAUUGGGCGUAAAGCGUGCGUAGGCGGUAUAGUAAGUCGAAUGUGAAAGCCCAGAGCUUAACUUUGGAAUUGCAUUCGAAACUACUAAACUAGAGUAUGGCGGGGGAUAGUGGAAUUCUUAGUGUAGGGGUGAAAUCCGUAGAUAUUAAGAGGAACACCAGUGGCGAAAGCGGCUAUCUACACCAUCACUGACGCUGAGGCACGAAAGCGUGGGGAGCAAACAGGAUUAGAUACCCUGGUAGUCCACGCAGUAAACGAUGAGUGCUAGUCAUUGGGAUCUUAGAUUUCGGUGGCGAAGCUAACGCGUUAAGCACUCCGCCUGGGGAGUACGGCCGCAAGGCUAAAACUCAAAGGAAUUGACGGGGACCCGCACAAGCAGUGGAGCAUGUGGUUUAAUUCGAUGCUACGCGAAAAACCUUACCAGCCCUUGUAUCCUCACUAUGAUUUUCAGAGAUGAAUUUCUUCACUUCGGGUGGGUGAGAGACAGGUGUUGCAUGGCUGUCGUCAGCUCGUGUCGUGAGAUGUUAGGUUAAGUCCUUCAGCGAGCGCAACCCUCGUCCUUAUCUGCCAUCGGGUUAUGCCGGGAACUAUAAGGAAACUGCCAACGACAAGUUGGAGGAAGGUGGGGAUGAUGUCAAGUCAUCAUGGCCCUUAUGGGCUGGGCUACACACAUGCUACAAUGGUGAUUACAGCGGGAUGCGAAAGAGCGAUCUGGAGCCAAUCCUACAAAAGUCAUCUCAGUUCAGAUUGGGGGCUGCAACUCGCCCCCAUGAAGUUGGAAUUGCUAGUAAUCGCGGAUCAGCACGCCGCGGUGAAUACGUUCUCGGGUCUUGUACACACUGCCCGUCAAGCCAUGGAAGUUGUUUCUACCCGAAUAUGGUGAGCUAACCGCAAGGAGGUAGCCAUACACGGUAGGAAUAGUAACUGGGGUUAAGUCGUAACAAGGUA
rnacentral:rRNA from 1 species